GUGUCAGCCGCCGCGGUAAUACGUAGGGUGCGAGCGUUAAUCGGAAUUACUGGGCGUAAAGCGUGCGCAGGCGGCGCCGCAAGUCAGGCGUGAAAUCCCCGAGCUUAACUUGGGAAUGGCGCUUGAAACUACGGUGCUGGAGUGUGGCAGAGGGAGGUGGAAUUCCACGUGUAGCGGUGAAAUGCGUAGAGAUGUGGAGGAACACCGAUGGCGAAGGCAGCCUCCUGGGCCAACACUGACGCUCAUGCACGAAAGCGUGGGGAGCAAACAGGAUUAGAAACCCUCGUAGUCC
rnacentral:rRNA from 1 species